rnacentral:rRNA from 1 species
GACGAACGCUGGCGGCGUGCUUAACACAUGCAAGUCGAACGGAAAGGCCCUGCUUUUGUGGGGUGCUCGAGUGGCGAACGGGUGAGUAACACGUGAGUAACCUGCCCUUGACUUUGGGAUAACUUCAGGAAACUGGGGCUAAUACCGGAUAGGAGCUCCUGCUGCAUGGUGGGGGUUGGAAAGUUUCGGCGGUUGGGGAUGGACUCGCGGCUUAUCAGCUUGUUGGUGGGGUAGUGGCUUACCAAGGCUUUGACGGGUAGCCGGCCUGAGAGGGUGACCGGGGACAGGGGGACGGAGAGAGGGCGGGGCAGGCGACAGGGCGAAGCAGGGGGAAGCAGGGCACAGGGGCGUGGGGUGUGAGACAGCAGCCUCCGGUGCGGAAGGAGGGGUGACGGGGGAGGAAAAGAAGUCGCCGGAGAAGAACCGGGCGGGACGGUAAGGAAUAAAGAAGCAACGGCUAACUACGUG